CACUCAUAAUCACAGCGCUAGCUCCAUAUACAGAAGAAAAAAAAGGAUCGAGGGAUGGAGAAAUGUUCCUUCAACUACUUAGCUCUGUUCAUGAUUUCACUAUUGCUUAUAUACUCAUGUAAUUUGCAGUACUCAGAAGUGGAAGCAAGGAUUGAUGUAAAUGCCCGAUGCAAGAGUGUUGAUGAUUGUAGUCGUGGUCCAUCACAGUGCCAAUGCGUAUUCAACGUUUGUAUUUGCCUCCCUCCUGCAGCAGCAGCUCAUGAUCAGAUCAUGAAUUUCAUGAUUAAACAAAAUGAAACUGAUCCUCAGCGUACAUGAAUAAUUAGUACGCUCCGUCGAUCCCCAGAAGUACUACUAAUAAUAUUGUAGUACUGGUCUACCUUAUAAGAAAUAAAUUAAUAAAAGGAUCGUUCUUCUUAA